GAUGAACGCUGGCGGCGUGCCUAAUACAUGCAGGUCGAGCGAACGGACGAGAAGCUUGCUUCUCUGAUGUUAGCGGCGGACGGGUGAGUAACACGUUGAUAACCUACCUAUAAGACUGGGAUAACUUCGGGAAACCGGAGCUAAUACCGGAUAAUAUUUUGAACCGCAUGGUUCAAAAGUGAAAGACGGUCUUGCUGUCACUUAUAGAUGGAUCCGCGCUGCAUUAGCUAGUUGGUAAGGUAACGGCUUACCAAGGCAACGAUGCAUAGCCGACCUGAGAGGGUGAUCGGCCACACUGGAACUGAGACACGGUCCAGACUCCUACGGGAGGCAGCAGUAGGGAAUCUUCCGCAAUGGGCGAAAGCCUGACGGAGCAACGCCGCGUGAGUGAUGAAGGUCUUCGGAUCGUAAAACUCUGUUAUUAGGGAAGAACAUAUGUGUAAGUAACUGUGCACAUCUUGACGGUACCUAAUCAGAAAGCCACGGCUAACUACGUG
rnacentral:rRNA from 1 species